UUUGCAGCCCGACCUGAGUGGAGCUCUUUUUGUCGCAACGAAGUGAAGACAAAAAAGCGGGAACGGAGGGCGGAAAUGUCU
rnacentral:misc_RNA from 1 species